CGCGUAGGCGGUCCGCCAAGUCAGGGGUGAAAUCCUGCAGCUUAACUGUAGAAGUGCCUCUGAUACUGGCGGUCUUGAGGGAAAUAGGGGUGUGCGGAACUUCCAGUGGAGCGGUGAAAUGCGUUGAUAUUGGAAGGAACGCCGGAGGCGAAAGCGGCGCACUGGAUUUCUUCUGACGCUGAGGCGCGAAAGCUAGGGGAGCAAACG
rnacentral:rRNA from 1 species